rnacentral:rRNA from 1 species
GACGAACGCUGUCGGCGUGCUUAACACAUGCAAGUCGAACGGAAAGGCCCUGCUUUUGUGGGGUGCUCGAGUGGCGAACGGGUGAGUAACACGUGAGUAACCUGCCCUUGACUUUGGGAUAACUUCAGGAAACUGGGGCUAAUACCGGAUAGGAGCUCCUGCUGCAUGGUGGGGGUUGGAAAGUUUCGGCGGUUGGGGAUGGACUCGCGGCUUAUCAGCUUGUUGGUGGGGUAGUGGCUUACCAAGGCUUUGACGGGUAGCCGGCCUGAGAGGGUGACCGGCCACAUUGGGACUGAGAUACGGCCCAGACUCCUACGGGAGGCAGCAGUGGGGAAUAUUGCACAAUGGGCGGAAGCCUGAUGCAGCAACGCCGCGUGCGGGAUGACGGCCUUCGGGUUGUAAACCGCUUUCGCCUGUGACGAAGCGUGAGUGACGGUAAUGGGUAAAGAAGCACCGGCUAACUACGUGCCAGCAGCCGCGGUGAUACGUAGGGUGCGAGCGUUGUCCGGAUUUAUUGGGCGUAAAGGGCUCGUAGGUGGUUGAUCGCGUCGGAAGUGUAAUCUUGGGGCUUAACCCUGAGCGUGCUUUCGAUACGGGUUGACUUGAGGAAGGUAGGGGAGAAUGGAAUUCCCGGUGGAGCGGUGGAAUGCGCAGAUAUCAGGAGGAACACCAGUGGCGAAGGCGGUUCUCUGGGCCUUUCCUGACGCUGAGGAGCGAAAGCGUGGGGAGCGAACAGGCUUAGAUACCCUGGUAGUCCACGCUGUAAACGGUGGGUACUAGGUGUGGGGUCCAUUCCACGGGUUCCGUGCCGUAGCUAACGCUUUAAGUACCCCGCCUGGGGAGUACGGCCGCAAGGCUAAAACUCAAAGGAAUUGACAGGGCCCCGCACAAGCGGCGGAGCAUGCGGAUUAAUUCGAUGCAACGCGUAGAACCUUACCUGGGUUUGACAUGGAUCGGGAGUGCUCAGAGAUGGGUGUGCCUCUUUUGGGGUCGGUUCACAGGUGGUGCAUGGCUGUCGUCAGCUCGUGUCGUGAGAUGUUGGGUUAAGUCCCGCAACGAGCGCAACCCUUGUUCACUGUUGCCAGCACGUUAUGGUGGGGACUCAGUGGAGACCGCCGGGGUCAACUCGGAGGAAGGUGGGGAUGACGUCAAGUCAUCAUGCCCCUUAUGUCCAGGGCUUCACGCAUGCUACAAUGGCUGGUACAGAGAGUGGCGAGCCUGUGAGGGUGAGCGAAUCUCGGAAAGCCGGUCUCAGUUCGGAUUGGGGUCUGCAACUCGACCUCAUGAAGUCGGAGUCGCUAGUAAUCGCAGAUCAGCAACGCUGCGGUGAAUACGUUCCCGGGGCU